rnacentral:misc_RNA from 1 species
AACCUAGCACACCUGCGGUGUGUACCUGCGGAAGGAUCAUUACACAAUACAAUAUGAAGGCUGUCCGCAGCUGGAGUAUUUUAUUACCCUUGUCUUUUGCGCACUUGUUGUUUCCUGGGCGGGUUCGCUCGCCACCAGGACCACCAAAUAAACCUUUUUUAUGCAGUUGCGAUCAGCGUCAGUACAAACAAUGUAAAUCAUUUACAACUUUCAACAACGGAUCUCAGAUCGGAAGAGCAC